GCAUAUCAAUAAGCGGAGGAAAAGAAACUAACAAGGAUUCCCCUGGUAACUGCGAGUGAAGCGGGAAAAGCUCAAAUUUAAAAUCUGGUGGUCUUUGGCCAUCCGAGUUGUAAUCUAGAGAAGUGCUAUCCGCGCUGGACCGUGUACAAGUCCCCUGGAAUGGGGCGUCAUAGAGGGUGAGAAUCCCGUCUUUGACACGGACUACCAGGGCUUUGUGAUGCACUCUCAAAGAGUCGAGUUGUUUGGGAAUGCAGCUCAAAAUGGGUGGUAAAUUCCAUCUAAAGCUAAAUAUUGGCGAGAGACCGAUAGCGAACAAGUACCGUGAGGGAAAGAUGAAAAGAACUUUGGAAAGAGAGUUAAACAGUACGUGAAAUUGUUGAAAGGGAAACGCUUGAAGUCAGUCGCGUCAGCCAGGGAUCAACCUUACUUUUGUGAGGCGUACUUCCUGGUUGAUGGGUCAGCAUCAGUUUUGGCUGCUGGAUAAAGGUCAGAGAAAUGUGGCACCUCCGGGUGUGUUAUAGUCUCUGAUCAGAUACAGUGGCUGGGACUGAGGAACUCAGCACGCCGCAAGGCCGGGGUUCGCCCACGUUCGUGCUUAGGAUGCUGGCAAAAUGGCUUUAAUCGACCCGUCUUGAAACACGGACC
rnacentral:rRNA from 1 species